GGUUCGAUGGUGUAGUUGGUUAUCACGUCAGUCUAACAUCAGUUAGGUCACUGAAGGUCUCCAGUUCAAGUCUGGGUCGAAUCA
rnacentral:tRNA from 1 species